CUCUCGCAGCCCGACUUGAACGGAAAUCCUUUUAUGAGGAGGAACGACGAAUAAAAGAUUGGGAGUGGAAGGCGGAUACAGCU
rnacentral:misc_RNA from 1 species